AUUGAACGCUGGCGGCACGCUUUACACAUGCAAGUCGAGCGGUCAAAAUGAGGGGGCUUGCCCCCGAAAGACGAGCGGCGGACGGGUGAGUAACGCAUGGGAAUGCGCCCAGUAGUGGGGGACAACCCUGGGAAACCAGGGCUAAUACCGCAUGUUUUCCACGGAACAAAGCGGGGGACUUCUUCGGAAACCUCGCGCUAUUGGAGCAGCCCAUGUCCGAUUAGCUUGUUGGCGGGGUAACGGCCCACCAAGGCGACGAUCGGUAGCUGGUCUGAGAGGAUGAUCAGCCACACCGGGACUGAGACACGGCCCGGACUCCUACGGGAGGCAGCAGUGGGGAAUAUUGGACAAUGGGGGCAACCCUGAUCCAGCGAUGCCGCGUGAGUGAAGAAGGCCUUCG
rnacentral:rRNA from 1 species